rnacentral:rRNA from 1 species
GACGAACGCUGGCGGCGUGCCUAAUACAUGCAAGUCGAACGAGAGCGACCGGUGCUUGCACUGGUCAAUCUAGUGGCGAACGGGUGAGUAACACGUGGGUAACCUGCCCAUCAGAGGGGGAUAACAUCCGGAAACGGAUGCUAAAACCGCAUAGGUCUUCGAGCCGCAUGGCUUGAAGAGGAAAAGAGGCGCAAGCUUCUGCUGAUGGAUGGACCCGCGGUGCAUUAGCUAGUUGGUGAGGUAACGGCUCACCAAGGCCGUGAUGCAUAGCCGACCUGAGAGGGUGAUCGGCCACAUUGGGACUGAGACACGGCCCAAACUCCUACGGGAGGCAGCAGUAGGGAAUCUUCCGCAAUGAACGCAAGUCUGACGGAGCAACGCCGCGUGAGUGAAGAAGGUUUUCGGAUUGUAAAACUCUGUUGUUAGAGAAGAACAAGUGCUAGAGUAACUGUUAGCGCCUUGACGGUAUCUAACCAGAAAGCCACGGCUAACUACGUGCCAGCAGCCGCGGUAAUACGUAGGUGGCAAGCGUUGUCCGGAUUUAUUGGGCGUAAAGCGAGCGCAGGCGGUUCCUUAAGUCUGAUGUGAAAGCCCCCGGCUCAACCGGGGAGGGUCAUUGGAAACUGGGGAACUUGAGUGCAGAAGAGGAGAGUGGAAUUCCAUGUGUAGCGGUGAAAUGCGUAGAUAUAUGGAGGAACACCAGUGGCGAAGGCGACUCUCUGGUCUGUAACUGACGCUGAGGCUCGAAAGCGUGGGUAGCAAACAGG